AAAAAUUUUGAAAAAAAAAAUAAUAAUUGCUUUUUGAUGCAUUAUAAACUAUUAAAGUGUAACAGUACAGAUAGAAAGUGGGUUUUGGAUUAUAUUUUCGCAAGUAUUUUAUGCAAAGCAGAAGAAAGUCCACGGAAAUUAUGUCCGUGGACUUGACAAGAAUUUUCUCCAAUCUAAGGUAGAUAAUUUUUUUUCUAAAAAAAAAAGGAAUAUUGUGCUUAUCCAGUUCCGGGCUGAAAAAAAGGCUAGAGAAGGAAAUUUUCUUUGCUUUUUAUUUGGGUAAUUGAUUAGUCGUUGCAACUACUUUUACCAAAUUCGCUUAUUUUGUUAAUUGGAAAACUGAUUUUACAUUAUUGAGUCAAAAUUGCGUGUUUUUUUAAUUGGCAUUCAGUAUCAUAAAUUUUUGCUAUGAAUAAAAAAGUCGUAUAAGCCAAAUAAAUUUAGUUGUAAUUCAUCAUCAAAAUUCAAUUGUUUAUUCGACGUUUCAGUUGU